rnacentral:rRNA from 1 species
AAACCAGCACCUCAAGUGGUCAGGAGGAUUAUUGGGCCUAAAGCAUCCGUAGCCUGUUCUGUAAGUUUUCGGUUAAAUCCAUUAGCUCAACUAAUGGGCCGCCGAAAAUACUGUAGAACUAGGGAGUGGGAGAGGUAGACGGUAUUCGGUAGGAAGGGGUAAAAUCCUUUGAUCUAUUGAGGACCACCUGUGGCGAAGGCGGUCUACCAGAACACGUUCGACGGUGAGGGAUGAAAGCUGGGGGAGCAAACCGGAUUAGAAACCCCAGUAGUCC